GACGAACGCUGGCGGCGUGCUUAACACAUGCAAGUCGAACGGAAAGGCCCUGCUUUUGUGGGGUGCUCGAGUGGCGAACGGGUGAGUAACACGUGAGUAACCUGCCCUUGACUUUGGGAUAACUUCAGGAAACUGGGGCUAAUACCGGAUAGGAGCUCCUGCUGCAUGGUGGGGGUUGGAAAGUUUCGGCGGUUGGGGAUGGACUCGCGGCUUAUCAGCUUGUUGGUGGGGUAGUGGCUUACCAAGGCUUUGACGGGUAGCCGGCCUGAGAGGGUGACCGGGCACAUUGGGACUGAGAUACGGCCCAGACUCCUACGGGAGGCAGCAGUGGGGAAUAUUGCACAAUGGGCGGAAGCAUGAUGCAGCAACGCCGCGUGCGGGAUGACGGCCUUCGGGUUGUAAACCGCUUUCGCCUGUGACGAAGCGUGAGUGACGGUAAUGGGUAAAGAAGCACCGGCUAACUACGUG
rnacentral:rRNA from 1 species